rnacentral:rRNA from 1 species
GACGAACGCUGGCGGCGUGCUUAAUACAUGCAAGUCGAACGGAAAGGCCCUGCUUUUGUGGGGUGGUCGAGUGGCGAACGGGGGAGUAACACGUGAGUAACCUGUCCUUAACUUUGGGAUAACUCCUGGAGACUGGGGCUAAUAUCGGAUAGGAUCUCCUGCUCCGUGGUGGGGGAUGGAAAGUGUCGGCGGUGGGGGAAAGACUCGCGGCUUACCAGCUUGUUGGUGGGGUAGUGGCUUACCAAGGCUUUGAAGGGUAGCCGGCCUGAGAGGGUGAACGGCCACAUUAGUCCUGCGAUACGGCGCAGACUCCUACGGCCGGCAGCAGUCGGAAAUAUUGCGCAAUGAGCGGAAGCCUGAUGCAGCAACGCCGGGUGCGGAAUAACGGCCUUCGGGUGAUAAACAGCUUUCGCCUUUGCUGUAGCGUUAGUGACGGUACCUGGUAAAGAAGCCACGGCUAACUACGUG